UUAGGGAUUUUUUUUGUUGCAUGUACAUUUAAAUUUAAAUCUUAUGUUUGGUUUGACAUAUUUAAUUUAAUUACUGUAGCUGGAACUGUACGAGCAUGCUCAACUGCAAGAGUUGAAGUUAUAUUCAAAUCAGCCGCAGUUCCAACUACAGUAAUUAGAGAGAGAAAGUAAUAUAAAUAAUAAAUAAGCUUACCUCUCUAAUAACUUUUAUUUAGAAAAAUAUUUAUAAUUACAUCGAAAAGAGAUAAAAUU
rnacentral:lncRNA from 1 species